rnacentral:rRNA from 1 species
AGGAUGGGACUGCGACUGAUCAGGCUGUUGGCGGGGUAAUGGCCCACCAAACCAGUAACCAGUACGGGCCUUGAGAGAGGGGGCCCGGAGAUGGACACUGAGAGAAGGGUCCAGGUCCUACGGGGCGCAGCAGGCGCGAAACCUUCGCAAUGCGCGAAAGCGUGACGAGGUUAAUCCGAGUGGUUCCCGCUGAGGGAAUCUUUUGUCGGCUGUAAAAAGGCCGGCGAAUAAGGGGAGGGCAAGUCUGGUGUCAGCCGCCGCGGUAAUACCAGCUCCUCGAGUGGUCGGGGCGAUUAUUGGGCCUAAAGCAUCCGUAGCCGGUUCCGUAGGUCCUCUGUUAAAUCCAACGGCUUAACCGUUGGCCCGCAGAGGAUACCGCGGGACUAGGGGGCGGGAGAGGCAGGCGGUACUCUACGUGUAGGGGUAAAAUCCUUUGAUCCGUAGAAGACCACCAGUGGCGAAGGCGGCCUGCCAGAACGCGCUCGACGGUGAGGGAUGAAAGCUGGGGGAGCGAACCGGAUUAGAUACCCGGGUAGUCCCAGCCGUAAACGAUGCGAGCUAGAUGAUUCGGUCGCAAAUCGCGAUCGAAGUGUCGCAGGGAAGCCGUUAAGCUCGCCGCCUGGGGAGUACGGUCGCAAGACUGAAACUUAAAGGAAUUGGCG